AACAUAGUCGGUGAAAUAAACAACCGCUGAACAUAUACAAGUACACAACUAACAAUAAAAUAACCACAACCGUCUACAAAUUCCAAAUGCUCAAACCCCCUCGAGUAUUUUUCAAACCCAAGCGAAUAACGGAAAACUAUGGGCUAAUUGUCUCGCAAGAUCCAAAAUACAAGGCCACCGAUCGACGACGCACGACCACCGAUAUCUUCCUCUCGUCAUCGCCGUCACGUCUACGGUCUCGGAUCGCCCAUGCACCCGGCGAGGAGGGAGAAUCGACGGUGAGAAGGUUUGACUGCUCCGGCGAAUUUCUGCGAUUUCCGGCCACGGUCUGGACCGCAUUCGCUACGGCUUUGCCGUGUUCUUCGACGCCGGCGAAUCUUCCGGCACUUCUGGGCUUGCUUGGCAUACGAAAGACGGUCACUUCUUCGAGCUCUACAAGUCUGGAAUUGGUGGAGUGGUGGAAAGGGUGAGCAAAUAGAGAGAAUCUGUCCAAGCUACUGUGUUCUUCGCCUAAGUGCAGACUGUAAUUCGGGAUUCCAAUUCGAUCUGGUUGGGUUACAAGUGUGGAUGCAGGUACUGUGCACUGGUGACGGGACAAAAACGGAAGGAGCUGGGUGUGCAGAAUAAGUUCGGUAAACCAUCGUUUGGACUUUGUUCUACAUUCUUUUUCUCGAACUUCGUGUUCCGAAACUUGUUGAUAGUUAGCUUGUGUCAAUUUUAGUUCUCAUUCCUUAAAGUUCGUAUCCUUCGUGUGAACAUUCAUUCAAGUUCUGGACGAAUGAAAUGAUUUUUAGCAACUCAGGGAUUUUCACCUCAAAAAUAUUUGUAGCUUCCGCUGUGUUUAUACAAAAAGUUUUUCAAAGAAAAUGCCUAGCGGCUCUCUAGGAUAUAAGCCGAGCGUUCGGUUUAUGUUUUAGAGACUCGCGGCACUGUAACGAGCUUAAGUUGGUGAGGUGCAGCUUGGGGCGUUACAAACUCGGGCUCUACUUUUGUUUUGGAAGUUGAUUCAUCGAGUAAUCGGUUUCAGAGGCUUUUCCUAGCUUAUGCAGGCUGUGUUGAAGGCUUUGAAUUAUGUCUUCCUGUACUGUAUGUGGAUGGGACUUUUGGGAAGAGUAUUUACAGGGGGCAGAUUCUUUGUGCAACUGGAAUGAAUGGAAAUAAAAGUAAUUUUCUCUUUUAUUGCACCCUAAUAAUAUCUUUUUAAUACUUUUAUUGCCCCCCAAUGAAAUAAGGUUUCAGACUUUUUUCUUCUGAUUUCUUUUGCUUUUUUGUUUCUUUUUCUUGUUUAGGUUAUUUCAUUGGUCUUUUAGAAAUUGUGGAGCGGCACGCUCCCUUUGGUAGUGCAGCGGCACCCUGCAAUAUCUUUUAUUGCCCCCAAUAAAUUUUAUUUUCUUGUGAUUUCUUUUCCCUUUUUGUUUAUUUUUUCUUGUCCUAUUGUUUUUUAUUCCUUUUUGUUGAAAUUGUGGAGCGGCAUGCUCUCGUUACCUCGUUGGUAGUGUAGCGAUACGCUGUAAUAUCUUUUAUUGCCCUCCAAUAAAUUUUUAUUUUCUUGUGAUUUUUUUUCCAUUUUUUUUCUUUACUUGUUUGAGCUUCUUUCAUUGUUCCUUUUGAAUUUGUGGAGCGGCACGCUGCAAAAUCUCUUAUUGCCCCCCAAUAAACUGACCUUCUUCUUUUUUGGUUUGUCCAGGUUUCUUUCCUCUUGCUGUGUGUGUGUGUGUGAUUCUGAGACGGAUGCAAAUUGGACUUUUUUUUUUUUGAACACUUGAAGAGCUUGCUUGAACCUCAAGGUAGAGUGAUUACGUUUAUUAGUGCUCGUAAUGUAGGACUAUUGAGUGCUUUCGAUAAGGUAUUUCCUGGUAAUCCUCAUCUAUUUUGUUACAAGCACUUGGCGUUUAACCUUAUGAGUAAAUACAAGGAUGAAGGGGAUUAUGUUGUGAAAGAGGAUGUUAAAAAGAAGUUUUUUGAGUUAGCAUAUUUGUGUACUGGGAAUAUCGUUUCCAUUUAAGAGAGCUAACAGAAGUGGGGGUUUUUGAUAUUAUAAACGCAUUUCUUUUUUUAUAUGCCUCUUGAAAAUUGGUGUUGUGCAUUUUUCCUUGGAUCCCAUUAUGGAAUUAUGGCUAAUAGUAUAACUGAGUCUUUUAAUUCUUGGUUUUCUCUUGAGCGUGAGAUGCCAGUAUAUACUAUGCUUGAUCAUACUUGGAUUAAGAUAAUGCAGCAGAUGAGUGAGAGGAGGGACGAGGUAAAACUUUGGACCACAGAACUUAUUCCAGUUAUGGAGAGUCGUUUGAAGGAUGGUAUAGAGCAAGCUCACAAUUUCAGUGUGCAUUACUCGCAUACAAAUGUUUAUGAAGUUCGUUCUAAGUACUCUUAUGAAGUGAACCUUGGAACUCUUUCAUGCUCAUGUAAAAAAUGGCAAAUUAACUGCUUUCCUUGCUGCCAUGGUCUUGCUGCAAUAUUAUCUGCCUCACUGGAUGUGUGUGCAUUUAUUGAUGAGUACUUUUGUGUUGAUCAUUACAAGAAGUGCUAUGAUUUCCCUAUUCGUCCGAUAUCUAAUGUGGAUAUACUACCUCCACUUACAAAGAGGUCGCUCAGGAGGCCUAGGCUCAAGAUGUUCAAGUCUAGAGGGGAGUCUGAAAAGAAGCUAAUUCAUUGCGACCGUUGAGGUAAAAUGGGUCAGCACAACAAGAAGACCUGCACAGUACCUAUUUGAUUGUAAAGUUGUCGAAUGUUUUAGCAUUCUGUCUAUUUUUUAUUAGGGGGCAGUAGAACAUUUGCCUUUGGAAGAUGAUUGAGAUUGAUUAGUGCUUGUGUUUUGUUUCUUUUUGAGAUUAUGUUUUUGAAGUACUUGU